CCCGCAGGGUUGUGAGAAGCGGGUGGGCGGUGGAGUGCGACCCGUCGGCGCUGGUGUUGGACGUGCGGCCUGUCCUUGGCCACCGCGGCCCCGAGACGCUGCACAGAAGCCGCCCACGGCCUCCACUGUGCCGAUCGCUGGACACGGUGCCCGCGGAAAAUGAAGGAAGGGGUGAGAAAAAGUUGCAACCACUGCCCUGGAAGUUCACACUAGAUAAGAAGAACCAGCCAGUGGAUUGGAAUCAGAAGCCUGGAGUCUGGAAGAUUUAGCACUUAGUCCCCAAGUGUGGUCUAAAGACAUUGAUGUCACUUAGAGCAUACUGAAAAUUAUGGAUCUCUCCUCCCAUUGCAAGCCUUAGCAGAGUUCAGAGAACUGUCCUGCAAUCAGGUUUGGGAUACACUGCUCUAGAGGAGAAGAGAAAGAGAAAAAGAAAAAGAGAAGGUUCAGUGUGAGAAUUUAAAAGCUGGGCAAGAAUAAAAGUUUAAGCUAUUAGAGAAAAACCACUCAAGUUUAUGGUUUCGGAGGUGAUCUUCCUUUUCAUGAAAUGAUUAAAGGAAAACCACGGCGAUACAAAAGCACAUGGUUUCUGCAUGGGUAAACCCGGGAUAAAGCUUACCAAAAAACACAAGCAAACAAAAACCAAACUGGAUGUUAUGGUUUGCAUAGGAACCUUGUGUUGAAGGCUGGAUUAUGUUUGGAUCGUGAAGGCUGACUUCAUCAGAUCCACCGGUGUGUGCAGAAUUGAUGGCAUUAUUCCAAGAUGAUGGAAACUGACAGGGCCUGGUUGGAGGAGGUAGGUCACUGGGGGCAAGCCUUUCGAGUACCUGCUUUGUUUCUAGCCUUUUCUGCCCACUCUGCUUCCUGCUUCUAAAGAGCUGAGUGGCUCAUUACAUGUUCCCUCUGUGACCUGCCUCACAACAGCCAAGAGUGUAUGUACUGAAUCCUCUGAAACUUUGAACCCAAAUAAAUCUUUCUUCCUUGUAA